UCCACAGUGGUCGAGAGUCUAAGACUCCAUUCUCCCAAUGCAGGGGGCCCAGGUUCAAUCCCUGGCUGGGGAA
rnacentral:tRNA from 1 species